ACAGUGUCCGUUCCGGCUGGAAGCCCCGAUCUGAGCCUCCACGCCCUCUGCCAAGAUCUCCUCCAGAGAGAGCACGUCCUCCCUGACCUUCUGAGGCUGAGAGAGGAGCUUUCUCAACACAUUCCUGGAGAAGAACAGCCCGGGGGCUGAUGGGAGUCGUACCUGUGGCCGUGGGCGGCGGCGUGACUAAAGCAGUUCAUGUCCUCAUACAGCGAUGAUGUCAGCGUGUUAGCGCCCUGGGAUCUCAGCCGGGGGUCCGCACCUCGCGCCAGCAGUAGGCUGACCAUUUCGUAAUUCCCUGCGAAACACGAUGAGCGGAGGAAAAACAGAUGUGUGAUGAGCUGGUACACACCUGCUGCAGAUGCCAGCUGAAGAGGCGUCUCGGCACCGCUCUCUUGUUCAUUACGGAUGGCUGCUCCUUCAACGUUUGCACCGGCAUCUAAAAGCAGCUUAGAAAAUAACCAAAAACUAUUAGUACCGAGUCAUAUCUAAGGCUGCCAGAGUCAGUGAUGUCAUACAAAUGGUAGUACACACCGCUACAUCUAGAUUGGCCCCGGCGUCUAUCAACAUCUGGACUAAAGCUUCAUCUCCAGCCGAGCAGGCGUACAUCAGC